CUUUUAGAGUUUUUCCCCAAUCGUUCCGGCUUCUAUUUGUUCGUUUAGGGUUUUCUAAUAUUUUCUUCUGUUCAUUCUCCGGUUCGCUCUUGAUCUCGAGUUCGUCUCAUUAUUUUGUUGCGUUUGCUCAACAAGGAAGCUUCGAAGGAGUUCGAGUCGAGCCCGCGUCGCUCUUUUGAUCAUCUCCUUGGAGGCUCUUCCAUGAAGCACGAUCGAGCAUGCUACAAGAGAUAAGUAUUGCUUUCCUUGUUUCUAUUCGUUUGUCUUCAAUUGAUUCAAGUUGAUUGUUCUCUGUUUUGAUUUUUACGUAUCUGCUUGUUGAGUUUUCUUCAAUUUUUCUGCGUUGUUAAUGUUACUUUUCCUUUUAUGUUUUGAUAUGUUGUAAGCUGCAUUUUGUUUUUGUUCAUUACUGUCUUGAGUUCUAUUUUGUGAUUUUGUUCAUAAACUGUUUCUUUAAAUGUCUAAGAGAGCUAAUAUGAGAUUGUUCAUUCUUGAAUCUCAUGUUCUGUGUUUAGGUUUUAAAGUUGAGUGUUCCUCUUUUCCUUUUUCUUAUUCUCUCUUCUCAUUUCUUCUUCCUCGGCUAGAAGCCAUCAAAUCCUGGAAUCCAUUGUGCAAUUAAUGGGACGUGAGAGGAAGCAAUUAUGUCCGGAGAGAAACGGAAUUAGCAGAGUUAAGAAGUGAAUGAGUGGGAGAAGAAGUGGGAAUCACAUAAAGGAAAGAGAGAAAAAGAGUCUCAAGAGCUAACGAAAAUAGGAAAAGAAAACAAAGGCCAAGCUACAGAUUCACGCUACUUCCAUGACCUUGGAUUACCAGCUAUUGGAUUCUCACCUAUGGCAAACACCCCUCUUCUACUCCAUGACCAUAAUGAGUAUUAUCAAUAUUGGUCUGCAAGGUCUUGUAUACUUGUAAGUUAAACUAGUUGAGCAUUUUUCUAUUUAUUUUUUAUUUUUUGACUUUGUAAUUCUCAAUAGUUUGUCCCAUCUAAUCACUAGCCAUUAAAUCAUGUUCUUUUAAUGACUGCAGCUUGAUCCUCAUUGGUUGGAUUCUUGUUGCUGGCACAUUUAUACUUUGUGGUAUAUUUCUCUUUCUUCACAAGUAAGUCCCUUCUAUCUUGUAGAAUUUAUAUUGAAGUUUUUAGUUUUCACCUUUCAGUUACUCUGUUAACUUGUCUAUUAUGAGUCACUUAUUUCGUGAAGUCCAUUUUCUGGUAUAAUCACUUGUGUUGCACAUGUAUAACAAAAGCCUAUUUUAUUGCAUAUUUGCUUGUUGAAUCUAGAACACUAUAAGUGGAACGAGAUUCCACACCCACAUUCAAUUUUUUUGUCUCUUCCUAAAAAUAAAUUUUAUGCAAAACUUUCUUUUUUAUAUAGCUUUGGAUACAUUAGAACCAGCCUCCAUUGAUUUUCUUAAUCUCUAUUUCUCGGUUCAACCAACCCUUCCACAAUCGGAUUGUAGUCUUUUGAGCUAAGACAAACAGGAAUCGCAUCUUGCUUUGCGGUAUUUUUCCUAUUGGAUUUUUUUUAUUUGAAAAUG